CUACGGAGGGUGCAAGCGUUAUCCGGAAUCAUUGGGUUUAAAGGGUCCGUAGGCGGGCUAUUAAGUCAGAGGUGAAAUCCCACAGCUCAACUGUGGAACUGCCUUUGAUACUGAUAGUCUUGAGUUACAGUGAAGUAGAUAGAAUAUGUAGUGUAGCGGUGAAAUGCAUAGAUAUUACAUAGAAUACCGAUUGCGAAGGCAGUCUACUAACUGUAUACUGACGCUGAUGGACGAAAGCGUGGGGAGCGAACAGGAUUAGAAACCCUAGUAGUCC
rnacentral:rRNA from 1 species